rnacentral:rRNA from 1 species
UACAGAGGGUGCAAGCGUUGUUCGGAAUUACUGGGCGUAAAGCGCGUGUAGGCGGCUUGGCAAGUCCUGUGUGAAAGCCCCGGGCUCAACCUGGGAAUGGCAAUGGAUACUGGCGAGCUAGAGUGUGUCAGAGGAUGGUGGAAUUCCGGUGUAGCGGUGAAAUGCGUAGAGAUCGGGAGGAACAUCAGUGGCGAAGGCGGCCAUCUGGGACACACUGACGCUG